rnacentral:rRNA from 1 species
UACGAAGGUCCCAAGCGUUGUUCGGAAUCACUGGGCGUAAAGGGAGCGUAGGCGGCGCGGUAAGUCAGAUGUGAAAUCCCGGGGCUCAACCCCGGAACUGCAUCCGAUACUGCCGUGCUCGAGGACUGGAGAGGAGACUGGAAUUUACGGUGUAGCGGUGAAAUGCGUAGAUAUCGUAAGGAAGACCAGUGGCGAAGGCGGGUCUCUGGACAGUUCCUGACGCUGAGGCACGAAGGUCAGGGGAGCAAACGGG